rnacentral:rRNA from 1 species
ACGUAGGGUGCAAGCAUUAAUCGGAUUUAUUGGGCGUAAAGGGCGUGUAGGCGGACAUAUAAGUCAGAUGUGAAAUCCCGGGGCUCAACUCCGGAACAGCAUUUGAAACUGUAUAUCUAGAGGGUAGACGGAGAAAACGGAAUUCCACAAGUAGCGGUGAAAUGCGUAGAUAUGUGGAAGAACACCAGUGGCGAAGGCGGCGACCUGGGCCAAUAUUGACGCUGAGGUGCGAAAGCGUGGGGAGCAAACAGGA